rnacentral:tmRNA from 1 species
GGGUCUGACCGGCUUCGAUGAAGUUUAUUUUAAAAUCUGCGCAAGUGGUGGAUGGGUAAUCACCACCUAAAUAAUUUGCCCAAAAUUAUAAUUGCCAAACAAAAUAGCAAUUACGCUUUAGCUUUUGCUUAAGGCGCGUCUUGCCGGUGAUUUCUGCUAGCCGGGCCAGGGCGUUAACAGCAGUAUAAGAUAUUGUCGUCUUUUAAAUGUUUUAGCGGCAAUGUACGAAAAACACAAAAUAGCUCUUCGGUUGAUUCGCCGGAUUUUUAACCGAACCGUAACUAAUUCGGCUAAACUUGUAGUGCAAUUUUAAAUUAUUCUCCAGACGGGGGUUCGAUUCCCCCCAGAUCCACAA